rnacentral:tRNA from 1 species
UGGGAUGUAGCUCAGUUGGUAGAGCGCUUGCCUUGCAUGCAGAAGACCCCGGGUUCAAUUCCCAGCACCACAC